AAUGAUAGAGCAAAUCUCUAUUGGCAGAACGAAGUAGAAAGCUUGGACAUGCAUGCUUCUGGUUUGCCAAAGGAGAUUUGCCCUGCCAUU
rnacentral:pre_miRNA from 1 species